CGUGAUAUAGGUGUUACAAUACAAUCAUUUGUCAUGAUUGCAUGAGCAAAUGAUUGCAUUGGUAACCCGAACAGACAUGAGGAAGUAGCACGAUAGUGCGGAUUCCGAAUGGAUGUAGGAUUGCGGGAGCGAAGCGGAGCAAUCCGUAUAUCACG
rnacentral:sRNA from 1 species